rnacentral:lncRNA from 1 species
GGAUCGUGCCACUGCACUCCAGCCUGGAUGACAGAGUGAGACUUCGUCUCAAAAAAAAAAAAAAAAAAAGUUGAGCCUGGUGAUCCGUUUCAGUCUUGCAGGAUGAAAAAGUUCUAGAGAUGGUUGGUGGUGAUGGUUGUACAACACUGAAUAUAUUUAACACCACUGAGCUGUAUACUUAAAAAUGUUGAAGAUGGUAAAUUAUAAGUGUAUUUACCACAAUUAAAAAUGUUUACAUUAGAAAUUAAAGGCCACCCUGGGCAACAUAGUGAAACCCUGUUUCUACAAAAUUAAAAAUUAAAAAAUUAGCCAGGCAUGGUGGCACCCUCCUGUAAUCCCACCCACUCGGGAGGCUGAGGUGGGAGGAUCGC